AUUGAACGCUGGCGGCAGGCUUAACACAUGCGAGUCGAGCGGUAGCACAGGGGAGCUUGCUCCCUGGGUGACGAGCGGCGGACGGGUGAGUAAUGUCUGGGAAACUGCCUGAUGGAGGGGGAUAACUACUGGAAACGGUAGCUAAUACCGCAUAACGUCGCAAGACCAAAGAGGGGGACCUUCGGGCCUCUUGCCAUCAGAUGUGCCCAGAUGGGAUUAGCUAGUAGGUGGGGUAAUGGCUCACCUAGGCGACGAUCCCUAGCUGGUCUGAGAGGAUGACCAGCCACACUGGAACUGAGACACGGUCCAGACUCCUACGGGAGGCAGCAGUGGGGAAUAUUGCACAAUGGGCGCAAGCCUGAUGCAGCCAUGCCGCGUGUGUGAAGAAGGCCUUCGGGUUGUAAAGCACUUUCAGUGAGGAGGAAGGUGGUGAACUUAAUACGUUCAUCAAUUGACGUUACUCGCAGAAGAAGCACCGGCUAACUCCGUG
rnacentral:rRNA from 1 species